rnacentral:rRNA from 1 species
GUGGAUUAGAUACCCUGGUAGUCCACGCCCUAAACGGUGGGUACUAGGUGUAGGGCUCGCAAGGGUUCUGUGCCGAAGGGAAACCAUUAAGUACCCCGCCUGGGAAGUACGGCCGCAAGGUUGAAACUCAAAGGAAUUGACGGGGGCCCGCACAAGCGGUGGAGCAUGUGGUUUAAUUCGACGCAACGCGAAGAACCUUACCUGGGUUUGACAUGUUAGUGGUAGGAAACUGAAAAGGGACCGACCUAUAGCAAUAUAGGAGCUAAUACAGGUGCUGCACGGUUGUCGCCAACU